rnacentral:rRNA from 1 species
AACAAACGCUGGCGGCGUGCCUAAUACAUGCAAGUCGAACGGGGAAAGCUUUCGGGUGAGUACUAGUGGCGCACGGGUGAGGAACGCGUGGAUAAUCUGCCUUAGGGUGGGGGAUAACUAGUCGAAAGAUUAGCUAAUACCGCAUAAGACCACAGGAGCUGCGGCUCAAGGGGUCAAAGGUUUUUCGCUCUAAGAUGAGUCCGCGUAAGAUUAGCUAGUUGGUGAGGUAACGGCUCACCAAGGCGACGAUCUUUAACUGGUCUGAGAGGAUGAUCAGUCACACUGGAACUGAGACACGGUCCAGACUCCUACGGGAGGCAGCAGUAGGGAAUAUUGCACAAUGGAGGAAACUCUGAUGCAGCGACGCCGCGUGAGUGAUGAAGGCCCUCGGGUCGUAAAGCUCUGUCGCAGGGGAAUAACACAAUGAAGGUACCCUGUAAGAAAGGAUCGGCUAACUUCGUGUCCGCCGCCGCCGUAAUAC